ensembl:snRNA U6 U6 spliceosomal RNA
AUGCUCCCUUUGGCAGCACAUAUACUAAAAUUGGAACAAUAGAGAUUAGCAUGGCCCUGAGCAAGGAUAACAUGCAAACUCAUGAAGCCUUCCAUUACAAAAAUUU